UUGCAAGAACUUUGAAGAGAGAGUUCAAGAGUACGUGAAACUGCUCAGAGGCAAACGGGUGGGCCCUCGAAAUCCUCUUGCGGAGAGAUUCAGUCCGGAGCGGCAGGGGCGAUCGCGGGUAACGGACCCUCGUGAAGGACGGGUCCCGCGACGCAGUCUCCGCCGUGCCGGACGCACUUCUCCCCGCACUUUGGACGCCGCAACGGAUCGGGUAGCAGCGAGAGUCGGCCUUGAGACGGUUCCAGGCAGGUGACCGGGCGCUGGGCCUCGUGCCCUCCGCUCGGUUAUUCACGGGACCGUUCGUGGCGCGACACCCGAUCGAGGUCGAAGUUUCCCGUGCGGGAAACCGUCCGUCUCCGUCUCCUUGG
rnacentral:rRNA from 1 species